rnacentral:rRNA from 1 species
AGAGUUUGAUCCUGGCUCAGAACGAACGCUGGCGGCAGGCCUAACACAUGCAAGUCGAGCGCCCGCAAGGGAGCGGCAGACGGGUGAGUAACGCGUGGGAACGUGCCCUUUGGUUCGGAAUAUUCCCGGGAAACUGGGAGCAAAACCGGAUAAGCCCUUCGGGGGAAAGUUUACGCCAAAGGAUCGGCCCGCGUUAGAUUAGGUAGUUGGUGGGGUAACGGCCUACCAAGCCUACGAUCUAUAGCUGAUCUGAGAGGAUGAUCAGCCACACUGGGACUGAGACACGGCCCAGACUCCUACGGGAGGCAGCAGUGGGGAAUCUUGGACAAUGGGCGCAAGCCUGAUCCAGCCAUGCCGCGUGGAUGACUGAAGGCCCUAGGGUUGUAAAGUCCUUUCGACGGGGACGGUAAUGACGGUACCCGUAGAAGAAGCCCCGGCUAACUUCGUGCCAGCAGCCGCGGUAAUACGAAGGGGGCUAGCGUUGUUCGGAUUUACUGGGCGUAAAGGGCGCGUAGGCGGAUUUUUAAGUCGGGGGUGAAAUCCCGGAGCUCAACUCCGGAACUGCCUUCGAUACUGGAAGUCUGGAGCACGGUAGAGGUGAGUGGAAUUCCGAGUGUAGCGGUGAAAUGCGUAGA